GAGCCCAGGAUCAACUCUGAGUGAGUAACGCGUGGGAACCUUCCCAAUGGUACGGAAUAGCUCAGGGAAACUUGAGGUAAUACCGUAUAAGCCCCAAGGGGGAAAGAUUUAUCGCCAUUGGAUGGGCCCGCGUCGGAUUAGCUAGUUGGUGAGGUAAUGGCUCACCAAGGCGACGAUCCGUAGCUGGUUUGAGAGAAUGACCAGCCACACUGGGACUGAGACACGGCCCAGACUCCUACGGGAGGCAGCAGUGGGGAAUCUUGGACAAUGGGCGAAAGCCUGAUCCAGCCAUGCCGCGUGAGUAACAAAGGCCUUACAAGGAGUUGUAAAGCUCUUUUGCCGGGGACGAUAAUGACGGUACCCGGAGAAUAAGUCCCGGCUAACUUCGUGCCAGCAGCCGCGGUAAUACGAAGGGGACUAGCGUUGUUCGGAAUUACUGGGCGUAAAGCGCACGUAGGCGGAUUCAUAAGUCAGGGGUGAAAUCCCGGGGCUCAACCUCGGAACUGCCUUUGAUACUGUGGAUCUCGAGUCCGAUAGAGGUGGGUGGAAUUCCUAGUGUAGAGGUGAAAUUCGUAGAUAUUAGGAAGAACACGGUGGC
rnacentral:rRNA from 1 species